GGUUCCCAUAUGAUUACUGAAGUUAAGCAAUGCUGAGCCUGGUCACUACCUAGAUGGGUGAACAUUUGGGAAUACGAGGUGCUGUAAG